AACUCAGUGCUGGAUGAUUUCUCAGUUAUGCUACACGUGUCUUGCCACGCUGAGCUCCCUGAUCUCCCACCCGUGUAACCAGCCUACCUCUCAGUAUUUGUUCGUGAGUUCUUUUGUUACUUUCCAGAGAAUUUUUCCUUUGAGCAAAGGUGAUUUUGUGUUUGCGUUUUUUCCUCUAGUUGAGAAGAUUUUUUGGUUUACGAUUUUCUGUUGCACUUUGACUUUUACAUCCUUAGUUGUUACUUGCCCCACGUGGCACUAUCAUUUGAACUUUGUUUUUUCACCAGCCAUUUGCCUUGCUGCAGUGACUCUUUUUCUAACUCUGUUUUUGUGUCUUUUUAGUGGCAGUCCGAGCCAACCGUGCCUUUUCCCGGAAACUGCGAUUUUCUGUUGUUGCUUUGUUCUAUUGUUUAUUGUCAAUAAAUUUGGGCUUUUGCCUCUGCA